UCUCCCCAGUCUUGUGCUUUAAUAUGGAAAGGAAUAUAUAUUCACUGUGAAGGUAUUCUGACAUAAAAAGAUGUAAAUUACUGACUUGUAAACUUUCACAGACUUAUCUUUACAUGGACAAACCUGAGUUCAUGUUUCACAAACUGUUCUCCAGAUCCCUUUGUUGGUGGUGAAACGCCAUGCUGCCCCAGGGAGCUGCCUGGUUCAUCUGUGCACGGCCUUAUGGGCCGUUAUUCAUCAUAACUCUUUCCAAUGCUGUUUAGAUUGUUCCCAGUUUAAAAAGCUUGUGCACUAGUGUGUGAAUAUUAUAACACCCUUAACAUUUUUUGUUGUUUUAUAAUUACGUCUGUGGCUCUACUGUGUAGGUAUGUUCGUACCUGUAGAGGGCACAGGUGUCAGACCUCAUGGAGCUGGGGUUCUAGGCAGCGGGAAGAUCGAACAAGGGUCCUCUGCAAGAACACUAUGCUCUUCUAACUAUUGAGCCAGCCCCAAUCAUACAUACCCUUUUAUAGUCUUGUGCAUAUUCUUCUGCAGAAUAUAUGCCAACAUGUAAAUUAUGGGAUCAAGGACUAUGCAGAUGUAAUAUUUCAGUCCACUGCUAAUUGCUUCCAACUCGAAUUCUAAAAAGCUAGAACCAUGCCCCCAUCAUUGCUAUGCAAAUGUCUGUUUAUCCACACUUGCUAGUAAUGCAUUUUACACUUUAAUCUCUACCAGUCUCAGUGGAUGGAAACUGAGACUCAGGUUUGCUUUUCCUUGUGAGGAUGAGUUUCUUUUCCUAUAACACAUGAUCAGGUUUUUUGUCCAUAGAACUAUUUUAGUAGUUCAGUUGUCUUUUGAAAAAUUGACUGGUUCUGGGCAUAAUCCCAGCACUCAGGAGGCAGAGGCAGGCAGAUCUCUGUGAGUUUGAUAGUCAGACCCUUUCUGUCUCAAACCAAAGAAAACAAAGCAACAACAAAACAAAAACCAAAAACAAGUAAAACAAGAACUCCUUCUAUUUUAUGGACGCAAGCCCUUUGUCUUAUAGAAUACUGUUUCCCCCGUAGUCGUCCUUCCUUUGACAGUUGACUGGUUUAUCACAUGUGAGUUUGGUUUUACUCAGUCUUAUCUGUUCAUCUGAUCCUGCAAGGUUCAGUUGACCUUUAUAUCCCUCACUCGGAUAGACUCAAUUCAACUGAGUUCCUUUACAGUACAGUGCAGUCUGUUGCACAGAAAAACACAUAUUUCUUUAUUAUUCUUGCUUUUCUGGUUUUCUUUGUUUUGGUUUUCUUUUUAUGGUUUUGUUAAUCUUAUACAUUUUUCUUCCAAAUAAAAUUCUUGGUACAUUUAUCAAGUUUCUAAAAGAAGUGUUAUUUUGACUAGAAAUGUUUUAUGUGUAAGUUAACUUGGUAAGAGAUGUCAUAUUUAUAGUAAUGGAACCUAUAGGUUAGUACAGUAUAUGUUUUUUCCUAUUAGAUUUCCUAUUAAUUACAUUAGUAAUUAAUUUUAUAUUUCUUUUAGUUACCUAAUUACAUAGGUGAUUAAUUUUAUAUUUCUUUUAGGUCCAUGUAUUUUGCAUAUUUCUUAUUUGGCCAAAUUCUUAUAUGUUGAAACUCUAUAUUACAUAUAGAUAGUUUUUCCUUGCUCUAAGAUGUACAGGUUGAUGUAAAUGAGUUUUGCUCUCACUACAUUUUUAAUGAAUCACUGGCUGAAUUUUGUAUGUUAAUCUUGUUUUCAGCAAUUUUACCAUCUGGUCUUUUAAAAUAAAUGGUUUUGGCUAUGAAGGCUGAAGUUCAUGAUUACAGGGGUCAGAAGACAGUUUUCAGGAGUUUGUACCCUCCUUCCACCAUGAGGCUGCCAGGGAUUGAGCUCAGGUCUUCAGGCUUGGUGACAAACACAUUUACCUGCUGCUAAGCCAUCUCACAGUCAACUAAAUUUUUUUUAAAAAUUAAAAAAAAUAAAAGAAUGACUGAAAUCACAUCAAGUCUGUGACUUGGACUCUUUUGAAGUUAGCUUGCACAGUGAUUGCAAGUGUUUCACAGGGACCAUGUGGGAUUCCCAUGCUCUUUUAUGCUUUUUUGUUACCUGUAAACAAUAAAGGUAUCCAACUGGAAAUCUGUAAUUGGUAGGAAAGGGUAACAUGUGUUAGGGAUUUUAGUCUCAUGCCCUAACCUAUUUUUAGGUGACUUUUAAAGUUUUUCAGGUGAAACACAAAACUAAGUGGAAAACCCAUACUUUUAUCAAAUAAAAGUAAUUUUUAUAAAUCAUUUUCACUAUGAACAAAUCCUUCCUUAUAUUAAACAACUCAAAAGCAUUAUGAUUCUCUUUAAACAUUCAUUUAUUUACUUCUAUGUAUAGUGUUCUUCCUGCAUAUAUGCCUGCAGGCCAGAAGAGGGCAUCAGAUCUCAUCACAGAUGGUUGUGAGCUACCUUGUGGGUGCAAUGAAUUGAACUCAGUACCUCUGGAAGAGCAGCCAGUGCUCUUAACCUCUGAGCCAUCUCACCAGCCCCUAGAAGAAUUCUUUUUUGUAUGCUCUGUUUUCACUACAGGGCCCUCUGCUUCAUUAGCUAAGUAGGUUCUGAUGGUGUGUAAGUAUCUCUGAAUAAGGGUGUGCUCAAAAUGAGUGCUGGCUGUCAAGAGGUGGGGUGGGGCUUUGGGAAAGUUGCCUUGCUUCUGGGCUUCAUCUUGGACAGCUCUUGUUCACUGUGGUUCCAGCGGGUGAAUGUAAUCCAAUAAUGUGGAUGAAGGUACAGGCUGUAGAAUGCAUUUCUCUUCAGCUCCCAGCCUCUCGCAGACCUCGGAGAACACUGGAAGUCUGAAAUUAUCUGAGAAUAAAAAGUAGUGCUGUCAUGCCCUUUCAGGAAUCAUGAAAAUAUUAACUACAUAAGUCAGAGAAAGACAUUUUAGUAUUUCUAAAUAUAUAAGAUUAAAAAAAAAAGUUACCAGUUUAUUUUCAGUUUCCAAAUAAGGGAAUAUGUAACUUCCUUGGCUCCAUCUAACUGUUCAGAGAAUUUUCUUUAUAAAAUCCUGGAUGCUUUUAUUUAAAUCUUUCAAAGCUAAAUGCUGUCUGUGGUUCCUAGUGGUUACCAGCACCUCUGACACCUGGGAAAAAAAUUAACUCUAGCCAAGACUGUAGGAUUAUUUUUUCUUAUUAACACUUUUGUAUUUGUCUCUAAAAGCAUUGUAUCCUGUAUGGUAAAGAAUUAUACAAUAGAACGUUGUCCUAUACUUUUGCUUUUAAAAUUAGGAAUAGGUAAUUGAUAUACACAUACAUACAUACUCCUGUGCAAUGACAAAGCUUAGAACCAUACAUACUCUUGGCAUGGGGCCGGCACUGAGGGACAAGGGACAGCUGCAGAUGUGGUACUAGGAAUUUCAGCAGGUAGAUUAUUUCAGGUAUCCAGAGGUACAGUUGGAGACCGGAGAUGGUAAAGUAGGCAGGCAGUGUGCUCUGGAUGGCGAGUCAAUGGAUGAUGAGAAGUAGAGUGAACAGCAGUGUAGCAGAGAGUGUGCAGAAACAUAAGUACCUUGGGAGUUUGCAGUGCGUGGUAUUGGUUGCAGAUAGCAUCUUCUGCUUUUGCUUAAAGGACUCUAAAGCUUUAUGAUGAAAAAGGAAAGGAGAGUAGUCAGCAAGUAAAUGAUAAUUCCACCGAAGCAUCAUCCUAGUGAGGUAACCCAAUCACACAAGAACACCCAUGGUAUGCACUCACAGAUAAGUGGAUGUUAGCCCAGAAGCUCAGAAUACCCAAGAUAUAAUUCACAGACUACAUAAAGCUCAAGAAGAAGGAAGACCAAAGUGUGAAUACUUUGGUCCUUCUUAGAAGGGGUAAUAAAAUACUCAUGGGAGCAAAUACGGAAACAAGUAUGGAGCAGAGACUGAAGGAAAGGCCAUCCAGAGACUGCCCCACCUGGGGACCCAUCCCAUAUACAGUCACCAAACCCAGACACUAUUGUGGAUGCCAAGAAGUGCAUGCUGACAGGAGACUUAUAUAGCUGAAUCCUGAGAGGCUCUGCCAGAGCCUGACAAAUACAGAGGCAGAUGCUCGCAGUCAACUAUUGAACUGAUCACAGGGUUCCCAGUGGAGGAUUUAGAGAAAGAACUGAAGGAACUGAAGGGGUUUGCAACCCCAUAGGAAGAACAAUAUCAACCAACUAGAGCUCCCAGGGUCUAAAUCACCAACCAAACCAUGGCUCCAGCUGCAUAUAUAGCAGAGGAUGGCAUUGUCAGUGGGAAUGGGAAUGGGAAAAGAGGCCCUUGGUCCUGUGAAGGUUAGAUACCCCAGUGUAGGGGAGGUGGGAGUGGGUGGGUGGGUGUGGGCACACCCUCAUAGAAGCAGGAGGAGGGGGAAUGGAAUGGGAGGUUUCUGAGGGGGCAAUCAGGAAAGGGGAUAACAUUUGAAGUAUAAAUAAAUAAAAUAUCCAAUU
rnacentral:lncRNA from 1 species